rnacentral:siRNA from 1 species
UUUGUGAGACGUAAAAGAUCGGCU